CUUUUUUAAAUAAGUAUCCACGA
rnacentral:snRNA from 1 species